UACGAAGGGGACUAGCGUUGUUCGGAAUUACUGGGCGUAAAGCGCACGUAGGCGGAUUUGUAAGUCAGGGGUGAAAUCCCGGGGCUCAACCUCGGAACUGCCUUUGAUACUGCAAAUCUCGAGUCCGAUAGAGGUGGGUGGAAUUCCUAGUGUAGAGGUGAAAUUCGUAGAUAUUGGGAAGAACACCGGUGGCGAAGGCGGCCCACUGGAUCGGUACUGACGCUGAGGUGCGAAAGCGUGGGGAGCGAACAGG
rnacentral:rRNA from 1 species